AACGAACGCUGGCGGCGUGCUUAACACAUGCAAGUCGAACGCGAAAGUUUUCUUCGGAAGACGAGUAGAGUGGCGCACGGGUGAGUAACGCGUAAGUAAUCUGCCCUGGUAUCUGGGAUAACCCACCGAAAGGUGUGCUAAUACCGGAUACGCUGAGCAAUCAGGAAAGGUGGCCUCUUCAUGAAAGCUACUGUACCAGGAGGAGCUUGCGUACCAUUAGCUAGUUGGUAGGGUAAUGGCCUACCAAGGCAACGAUGGUUAGCGGGUCUGAGAGGAUGAUCCGCCACACUGGAACUGAAACACGGACCAGACUCCUACGGGAGGCAGCAGUGAGGAAUAUUGCACAAUGGGCGCAAGCCUGAUGCAGCCAUGCCGCGUGUAUGAAGAAGGCCU
rnacentral:rRNA from 1 species